GGUUGAUCNUGCCGGAGGUUACUGCUAUCGGAGUUCGANUAAGCCAUGCGAGUCUANAGGUUUCUUCGGAAGNNNNNNCGGACUGCUCAGUAACACGUGGAUAACCUACCCUUGGGACUGGAAUAACCCCGGGAAACUGGGGAUAAUACNGGAUAGAUCAGGGAUGCUGGAAUGCACCUUGAUCCAAAGCUCCGGCGCCCAAGGAUGGGUCUGCGGCCUAUCAGGUUGUAGUGGGUGUAACGUACNUACUAGCCGACGACGGGUACGGGUUGUGAGAGCAAGAGCCCGGAGAUGGAUUCUGAGACACGAAUCCAGGCCCUACGGGGUGCAGCAGGCGCGAAACCUUUACAAUGUGCGAAAGCAUGAUAAGGGAACUCCGAGUGCCAGUAUCUAAUACUGGCUGUCCUUGUGCCUAAACCGCACAAGAUAGCAAGGGCCGGGUAAGACCGGUGCCAGCCGCCGCGGUAACACCGGCGGCCCGAGUGGUAGCCGCUAUUAUUGGGUCUAAAGGGUCCGUAGCCGGUUCGAUAAGUCCUCUGGGAAAUCUGGUUGCUUAACAAUCAGACUGCCAAGGGAUACUGUUGAACUUGAGACCGGGAGAGGUAAGAGGUACUUCAGGGGUAGGAGUGAAAUCUUGUAAUCCCUGGGGGACCAUCUGUGGCGAAGGCGUCUUACCAGAACGGGUCUGACGGUGAGGGACGAAAGCUGGGGGCGCAAACCGGAUUAGAUACCCGGGUAGUCCCAGCCGUAAACGAUGCUCGCUAUGUGUCAGGUACGGUGUGACCGUAUCUGGUGCCGUAGGGAAGCCGUGAAGCGAGCCACCUGGGAAGUACGGUCGCAAGACUGAAACUUAAAGGAAUUGGCGGGGGAGCAC
rnacentral:rRNA from 1 species